rnacentral:rRNA from 1 species
UACGUAGGUGGCAAGCGUUUGUCCGGAAUUAUUGGGCGUAAAGCGCGCGCAGGCGGUCCUUUAAGUCUGAUGUGAAAGCCCACGGCUCAACCGUGGAGGGUCAUUGGAAACUGGGGGACUUGAGUGCAGAAGAGGAAAGCGGAAUUCCACGUGUAGCGGUGAAAUGCGUAGAGAUGUGGAGGAACACCAGUGGCGAAGGCGGCUUUCUGGUCUGUAACUGACGCUGGAGGCGCGAAAGCGUGGGGAGCAAACAGG